AGCUAGUUGGUAGAGCAUGGUGUUUGCAACACCAGGGUUGUGGGUUCGAUUCCCAC
rnacentral:tRNA from 1 species